rnacentral:lncRNA from 1 species
ACUACACAGCGCCCCAAUAUUCGCAGCUUAAAUUCAGGAACCAGCGGUAGGAGGUCUUGUCUUUCCAGCCAACAUUUCUGGAAUCUUUCCACAACAGUUUCACCUGGUUGGUGGAGUCACCUGUGUGCCAGAGCCAGGUUCUGCUGAUUAGUCUCUGUUUGUGUUGCCCAAGCUGGUUCAUUAUGUAUUAAGUGACUAAAACCAGAUGGACACCAGCAUUCCAUAUUAGCGGGUUUGGAACCAAUCGGCAGUUGUCUGGACCGGGUGGAAGAAGAUCGGGAAUGCCAUCAUUGUCAUCAUCGUCAUCACAUUCAUCUCCGAUGCCAUCCUUGUCCGUGUCCAGCUGGGAACUAUUGAUAACUGCAGGACAGUUGUCUCGAGAGUCCUGAUGGCCAUCUCCAUCACUAAGAAUGGAGAAUGAAACAUCAGAUUGAACGUUCUGAUUACGGUUGUAACUAAGGGAAAUCAAUAGUUGCAGUUUUGUAUUUACCUGUCUUUGUUGGUGUCACAAGGAUCACCAAUCAAGUCAUUAUCCACAUCCGUCUGUGGAAUAAUGAAGGAGAAUCAAUCAAGGACAAUGUUAGAUAUUUGAAUAUUUUGAGGCCUUAGUAACAGUGCAGGUCUCUUUUCACAUCUACUUUUUAAGCAUAGGUGGAGUUUGGUGUUUAGGAGUGAAGUUAAGUUAAGUUUGCCAGUGAAUAAAAACUAUUUUCUCUUUUUAUUUUCUCAUGUAUUGUCAUAUUAGCAACCCAGGCUUACUCUGAACACGUACCCCUGUAUACAUUUCUGGAGAGCGCCAAAUACAUCAAAGGAGGUUCAUUUUUUU